AGCGAACGCUGGCGGCAGGCUUAACACAUGCAAGUCGAGCGGGCGCAGCAAUGCGUCAGCGGCAGACGGGUGAGUAACGCGUGGGAACGUACCUUUUGGUUCGGAACAACACAGGGAAACUUGUGCUAAUACCGGAUAAGCCCUUACGGGGAAAGAUUUAUCGCCGAAAGAUCGGCCCGCGUCUGAUUAGCUAGUUGGUAGGGUAAUGGCCUACCAAGGCGACGAUCGGUAGCUGGUCGAGAGGAUGAUCAGCCACAUUGGGACUGAGACACGGCCCAAACUCCUACGGGAGGCAGCAGUGGGGAAUAUUGGACAAUGGGCGCAAGCCUGAUCCAGCAAUGCCGCGUGAGUGAUGAAGGCCUUAGGGUUGUAAAGCUCUUUUACCCGGGAUGAUAAUGAC
rnacentral:rRNA from 1 species